UGGUUCUCGCAUCGAUGAAGAACGCAGCGAAACGCGAUAGGUAAUGUGAAUUGCAGAAUUCCGUGAAUCAUCGAAUCUUUGAACGCACAUUGCGCUCCCUGGUAUUCCUAGGAGCAUGUCUGUCUGAGCGUCAGUACACACCCUCCGUCAACCCUUUUGGGUAGAUCGGGUCUUGAGUUUUGCGGUUGAGAGAUCGCAACCUCUAAAGUGGAAAGCCAGCGGCCCGCCUGCCCUCGAAAGACGUAGUAAUGCAAAUUAUCCGUCCAAGACAGGACUGCGUGUGCUUGCCAAAAUCGAACUUCUUCAGGUUUGACCUCAGAUCAGACAAGAGUACCCGCUGA
rnacentral:misc_RNA from 1 species